rnacentral:rRNA from 1 species
UAAUGCCGGAUACGCCCGCGAGGAGGCAUCUUUUUGCGGGGAAAGGCCCGAUUGGGCCGCUGAGAGAGGAGCCCCGGCGCAUUAGCUGGUUGGCGGGGUAACGGGCCACCAAGGCGACGAUGCGUAGCCGACCUGAGAGGGUGACCGCCCACACUGGGACUCAGACACGGCCCAGACUCCUACGGGAGGCAGAGUAGGGGAAUCUUCCGCAAUGGGUGCAAGCCUGACGGAGCAACGCCGCGUGAGGAAGAAGGCCUUCGGGUUGUAAACCUCUGUUGCUCGGGGAGAGCGGCAUGGGGAGUGGAAAGCCCCAUGCGAGACGGUACCGAGU